ACUAAGCGUACACGGUGGAUGCCCUGGCAGUCAGAGGCGAUGAAGGACGUGCUAAUCUGCGAUAAGCGUCGGUAAGGUGAUAUGAACCGUUAUAACCGGCGAUUUCCGAAUGGGGAAACCCAGUGUGUUUCGACACACUAUCAUUAACUGAAUCCAUAGGUUAAUGAGGCGAACCGGGGGAACUGAAACAUCUAAGUACCCCGAGGAAAAGAAAUCAACCGAGAUUCCCCCAGUAGCGGCGAGCGAACGGGGAGCAGCCCAGAGCCUGAAUCAGUGUGUGUGUUAGUGGAAGCGUCUGGAAAGGCGUGCGAUACAGGGUGACAGCCCCGUACACAAAAAUGCACAUAUUGUGAGCUCGAUGAGUAGGGCGGGACACGUGGUAUCCUGUCUGAAUAUGGGGGGACCAUCCUCCAAGGCUAAAUACUCCUGACUGACCGAUAGUGAACCAGUACCGUGAGGGAAAGGCGAAAAGAACCCCGGCGAGGGGAGUGAAAAAGAACCUGAAACCGUGUACGUACAAGCAGUGGGAGCACGCUUAGGCGUGUGACUGCGUACCUUUUGUAUAAUGGGUCAGCGACUUAUAUUCUGUAGCAAGGUUAACCGAAUAGGGGAGCCGAAGGGAAACCGAGUCUUAACUGGGCGUUAAGUUGCAGGGUAUAGACCCGAAACCCGGUGAUCUAGCCAUGGGCAGGUUGAAGGUUGGGUAACACUAACUGGAGGACCGAACCGACUAAUGUUGAAAAAUUAGCGGAUGACUUGUGGCUGGGGGUGAAAGGCCAAUCAAACCGGGAGAUAGCUGGUUCUCCCCGAAAGCUAUUUAGGUAGCGCCUCGUGAAUUCAUCUCCGGGGGUAGAGCACUGUUUCGGCAAGGGGGUCAUCCCGACUUACCAACCCGAUGCAAACUGCGAAUACCGGAGAAUGUUAUCACGGGAGACACACGGCGGGUGCUAACGUCCGUCGUGAAGAGGGAAACAACCCAGACCGCCAGCUAAGGUCCCAAAGUCAUGGUUAAGUGGGAAACGAUGUGGGAAGGCCCAGACAGCCAGGAUGUUGGCUUAGAAGCAGCCAUCAUUUAAAGAAAGCGUAAUAGCUCACUGGUCGAGUCGGCCUGCGCGGAAGAUGUAACGGGGCUAAACCAUGCACCGAAGCUGCGGCAGCGACGCUUAUGCGUUGUUGGGUAGGGGAGCGUUCUGUAAGCCUGUGAAGGUGUACUGUGAGGUAUGCUGGAGGUAUCAGAAGUGCGAAUGCUGACAUAAGUAACGAUAAAGCGGGUGAAAAGCCCGCUCGCCGGAAGACCAAGGGUUCCUGUCCAACGUUAAUCGGGGCAGGGUGAGUCGACCCCUAAGGCGAGGCCGAAAGGCGUAGUCGAUGGGAAACAGGUUAAUAUUCCUGUACUUGGUGUUACUGCGAAGGGGGGACGGAGAAGGCUAUGUUGGCCGGGCGACGGUUGUCCCGGUUUAAGCGUGUAGGCUGGUUUUCCAGGCAAAUCCGGAAAAUCAAGGCUGAGGCGUGAUGACGAGGCACUACGGUGCUGAAGCAACAAAUGCCCUGCUUCCAGGAAAAGCCUCUAAGCAUCAGGUAACAUCAAAUCGUACCCCAAACCGACACAGGUGGUCAGGUAGAGAAUACCAAGGCGCUUGAGAGAACUCGGGUGAAGGAACUAGGCAAAAUGGUGCCGUAACUUCGGGAGAAGGCACGCUGAUAUGUAGGUGAAGUCCCUCGCGGAUGGAGCUGAAAUCAGUCGAAGAUACCAGCUGGCUGCAACUGUUUAUUAAAAACACAGCACUGUGCAAACACGAAAGUGGACGUAUACGGUGUGACGCCUGCCCGGUGCCGGAAGGUUAAUUGAUGGGGUUAGCGCAAGCGAAGCUCUUGAUCGAAGCCCCGGUAAACGGCGGCCGUAACUAUAACGGUCCUAAGGUAGCGAAAUUCCUUGUCGGGUAAGUUCCGACCUGCACGAAUGGCGUAAUGAUGGCCAGGCUGUCUCCACCCGAGACUCAGUGAAAUUGAACUCGCUGUGAAGAUGCAGUGUACCCGCGGCAAGACGGAAAGACCCCGUGAACCUUUACUAUAGCUUGACACUGAACAUUGAGCCUUGAUGUGUAGGAUAGGUGGGAGGCUUUGAAGUGUGGACGCCAGUCUGCAUGGAGCCGACCUUGAAAUACCACCCUUUAAUGUUUGAUGUUCUAACGUUGACCCGUAAUCCGGGUUGCGGACAGUGUCUGGUGGGUAGUUUGACUGGGGCGGUCUCCUCCUAAAGAGUAACGGAGGAGCACGAAGGUUGGCUAAUCCUGGUCGGACAUCAGGAGGUUAGUGCAAUGGCAUAAGCCAGCUUGACUGCGAGCGUGACGGCGCGAGCAGGUGCGAAAGCAGGUCAUAGUGAUCCGGUGGUUCUGAAUGGAAGGGCCAUCGCUCAACGGAUAAAAGGUACUCCGGGGAUAACAGGCUGAUACCGCCCAAGAGUUCAUAUCGACGGCGGUGUUUGGCACCUCGAUGUCGGCUCAUCACAUCCUGGGGCUGAAGUAGGUCCCAAGGGUAUGGCUGUUCGCCAUUUAAAGUGGUACGCGAGCUGGGUUUAGAACGUCGUGAGACAGUUCGGUCCCUAUCUGCCGUGGGCGCUGGAGAACUGAGGGGGGCUGCUCCUAGUACGAGAGGACCGGAGUGGACGCAUCACUGGUGUUCGGGUUGUCAUGCCAAUGGCACUGCCCGGUAGCUAAAUGCGGAAGAGAUAAGUGCUGAAAGCAUCUAAGCACGAAACUUGCCCCGAGAUGAGUUCUCCCUGACUCCUUGAGAGUCCUGAAGGAACGUUGAAGACGACGACGUUGAUAGGCCGGGUGUGUAAGCGCAGCGAUGCGUUGAGCUAACCGGUACUAAUGAACCGUGAGGCUUAACC
rnacentral:rRNA from 1 species